GAUGAACGCUAGCGGCAGGCUUAACACAUGCAAGUCGAGGGGUAGAGGUUGCUUGCAACCUUGAGACCGGCGCACGGGUGCGUAACGCGUAUGCAACCUACCUUUUACAGAGGGAUAGCCCAGAGAAAUUUGGAUUAAUACCUCAUAGUAUAUAUCUUUCGCAUGUUAGGUAUAUUAAAGUUCCAACGGUAAAAGAUGGACAUGCGUCCUAUUAACUAGAUGGUAAGGUAACGGCUUACCAUGGCUACGAUAGGUAGGGGUCCUGAGAGGGAGAUCCCCCACACUGGUACGGAGACACGGACCAGACUCCUACGGGAGGCAGCAGUGAGGAAUAUUGGACAAUGGGCGCAAGCCUGAUCCAGCCAUGCCGCGUGCAGGAAGAAGCAUCUAUGGUGUGUAAACUGCUUUUGUACAGGAAGAAACAUCCCGACGUGUCGGGACUUGACGGUACUGUAAGAAUAAGGAUCGGCUAACUCCGUGCCAGCAGCCGCAGUAAAAC
rnacentral:rRNA from 1 species